rnacentral:rRNA from 1 species
GACGAACGCUGGCGGCGUGUUUAACACAUGCAAGUCGAACGGUGAACGAGGGAGCUUGCUCCCUCCGGAUCAGUGGCGAACGGGUGAGUAACACGUGAGCAAUCUGCCCCGAACUCUGGGAUAAGCGUUGGAAACGACGUCUAAUACCGGAUACGACGCGGGAGGGCAUCCUCUCCGCGUGGAAAGAACUUCGGUUCGGGAUGAGCUCGCGGCCUAUCAGCUUGUUGGUGAGGUAACGGCUCACCAAGGCGACGACGGGUAGCCGGCCUGAGAGGGUGACCGGCCACACUGGGACUGAGACACGGCCCAGACUCCUACGGGAGGCAGCAGUGGGGAAUAUUGCACAAUGGGCGCAAGCCUGAUGCAGCAACGCCGCGUGAGGGACGACGGCCUUCGGGUUGUAAACCUCUUUUAGCAGGGAAGAAGCGAAAGUGACGGUACCUGCAGAAAAAGCACCGGCUAACUACGUG